rnacentral:rRNA from 1 species
UACAGAGGGCUCAAGCGUUGUUCGGAUUCAUUGGGCGUAAAGGGCGCGUAGGCGGCUUUAUAAGUCGGGGGUGAAAGCCUGUGGCUCAACCGCAGAAUUGCCUUCGAUACUGUAGAGCUUGAGACCGGAAGAGGUAAGUGGAACUGCGAGUGUAGAGGUGAAAUUCGUAGAUAUUCGCAAGAACACCAGUGGCGAAGGCGGCUUACUGGUCCGGUUCUGACGCUGAGGCGCGAAAGCGUGGGGAGCAAACAGG